rnacentral:rRNA from 1 species
AUUGAACGCUGGCGGCAGGCCUAACACAUGCAAGUCGAGCGGAUGAGAAGAGCUUACUCUUCGAUUCAGCGGCGGACGGGUGAGUAAUGCCUAGGAAUCUGCCUGGUAGUGGGGGACAACGUUUCGAAAGGAACGCUAAUACCGCAUACGUCCUACGGGAGAAAGCAGGGGACCUUCGGGUCUUGCGCUAUCAGAUGAGCCUAGGUCGGAUUAGCUAGUUGGUGAGGUAAUGGCUCACCAAGGCGACGAUCCGUAACUGGUCUGAGAGGAUGAUCAGUCACACUGGAACUGAGACACGGUCCAGACUCCUACGGGAGGCAGCAGUGGGGAAUAUUGGACAAUGGGCGAAAGCCUGAUCCAGCCAUGCCGCGUGUGUGAAGAAGGUCUUCGGAUUGUAAAGCACUUUAAGUCGGGAGGAAGGGCAGUAAGUUAAUACCUUGCUGUUUUGACGUUACCGACAGAAUAAGCACCGGCUAACUCUGUGCCAGCAGCCGCAGUAAGAC